rnacentral:rRNA from 1 species
AUUGAACGCUGGCGGCAGGCCUAACACAUGCAAGUCGAACGGUAACAGGAAGAAGCUUGCUUCUUUGCUGACGAGUGGCGGACGGGUGAGUAAUGUCUGGGAAACUGCCUGAUGGAGGGGGAUAACUACUGGAAACGGUAGCUAAUACCGCAUAACGUCGCAAGACCAAAGAGGGGGACCUUCGGGCCUCUUGCCAUCGGAUGUUCCCAGAUGGGAUUAGCUAGUAGGUGGGGUAACGGCUCACCUAGGCGACGAUCCCUAGCUGGUCUGAGAGGAUGACCAGCCACACUGGAACUGAGACACGGUCCAGACUCCUACGGGAGGCAGCAGUGGGGAAUAUUGCACAAUGGGCGCAAGCAUGAUGCAGCCAUGCCGCGUGUAUGAAGAAGGCCUUCGGGUUGUAAAGUACUUUCAGCGGGGAGGAAGGGAGUAAAGUUAAUACCUUUGCUCAUUGACGUUACCCGCAGAAGAAGCACCGGCUAACUCCGUG